UANGNGAGGACCUUANCCAGGGCUUGAAANNNUUAGUGAAGNAAUGNGGAAACAUGUUCGUCAGCAAUGACACGAAACUAGGUGCUGCAUGGCUGUCGUCAGCUCGUGCCGUGAGGUGUUGGGUUAAGUCCCGCAACGAGCGCAACCCCCAUCUUUAGUUGCUAGCAGGUAAUGCUGAGGACUCUAAAGAAACUGCCUACGCAAGUAGUGAGGAAGGCGGGGACGACGUCAAGUCAUCACGGCCCUUACGUCCUGGGCCACACACGUGCUACAAUGGUCGGUACAGAGGGCAGCUACCGGGUGACCGGAUGCGAAUCUCUAAAGCCGAUCUCAGUUCGGAUUGGAGUCUGCAACUCGACUCUAUGAAGCUGGAAUCGCUAGUAAUCGCGCAUCAGCCAUGGCGCGGUGAAUACGUUCCCGGGCCUUGUACACACCGCCCGUCAAACAAUGGAAGCUGGGGGUGCCUGAAGUCGGUAACCGAAAGGAGC
rnacentral:rRNA from 1 species